CCUACGGGUGGCUGCAGUGAGGAAUUUUCUGCAAUGGGCGAAAGCCUGACAGAGCAAUACCGCGUGAGGGAUGAAGGCCUACGGGUUGUAAACCUCUUUUCUCAAGGAGGAAGAUCUGACGUUACUUGAGGAAUAAGCAUCGGCUAACCCUGUGCCAGCAGCCGCGGUAAUACAGGGGAUGCAAGUGUUAUCCGGAAUUAUUGGGCGUAAAGCGUCUGCAGGUUGAUAUUUAAGUCUUUUGUUAAAACUUCGGGCUCAACCCGAAAUCUGCAAAGGAAACUAUAUAUCUUGAGUAUGGUAGGGGUAAAGGGAAUUUCCAGUGGAGCGGUGAAAUGCGUAGAUAUUGGAAAGAACACCAACAGCGAAGGCACUUUACUGGGCCAGUACUGACACUCAGAGACGAAAGCUAGGGGAGCAAACAGGAUUAGAUACCCUAGUAGUC
rnacentral:rRNA from 1 species